GUGAACGAAUGACAGGUGGACAGAUCAUUAGUGUUUUAAGGGUGUAAUGAUGACUAUUACGCAGCAAUAGUGCUGGUAAACAUUGCUUUGAACAGGUGACAAUAGCAGAGGUGCUGAAGGUCUAGACUGGUGAUAGAUGAAUACAUCAGUGGAUGGAUGGAUGGACUAAUCAGAGGUGGUCUUUCACAGUAAUCUUAGAAAUAAUUGAAUUCAAAUCCUACAAACAGUAUUACAGAACAGUACAAUACAGUAUUAUAGCUGCUGCCUUGAGGAAAACUUCAGGUUUAAACUUGUUGGCUUCAGAUGUGAUAAGAAGGCUUGAAAUCCAAGCUGAAAACAUUUUUUUUGGAGGGGUGCUGGGAUUGAACUUGAACUGAAAAAAAAUCAGUGUGUUGAUACAGGACAGACCUUUUGACAUAAGACGGUAAAUUAUAACAAGUGUAGUUAACAUGGAAUGGACAAGCUAACCACAACCAAGAUUGUGAAAGUAGAGGGGGGAUCUGGAAAAGAAAUCCAGAAACACAAAGAAACUGUAAAAACCACAAGACUGACAUCUCUACCCCCAAAGGGCAAGAGCAGCUCCGUGAGCAGUCAACAGGUUCUGACCUCCAUAGUGAACAGCUCAGGCUCUGGAGGAGCUUCAGGAGGAGCUGUUCUGGUGGAGAAGAAGAUCAUCACCCAGAGCAGUGCUGAAGGAGGCGCUUCCAGAAGUUAUGUCAUAUCCUCCUCCUCGUCUGGAAGUUCAGGAGCAGUAUCUGUGAUUGGUGGAUUGGAAGAAAUAUCUCGUGAAAUCAGUGUAACUGGACCGAUCAGUAGCUCUACGGUUAAAAGCUCUAGCAGCGUCUCUACCUCUGCAACAGCUGGAGAUCUUUCCUGUGGAUACGGGUCCAUCUCCUCCUCUGAGUUUGCGUCUGGUUCCUCAGGGGGUUCUGUCAGUGUUUCUGGAGGCAGUAUGAACAUAUCCAGAGGUGGAGGAGGUGGCGCUGGCUCUUCUGCAGUCACGUCUGCCGCAGGAACUUCCAGCUCCAUGACUGUGACCAAGUUCAGCUCCUCGUCCCCCAGCGGGACACGGAAAGGUUUGAGUUACAGCACAGCUCCUGCAGAGAGGAAGACCAGUCUGAGCCUUCACAAUGGAGGAUACGAGGGGAGCUCCAGUGGCAAUUCUUCACCUGAAUACAUGAAGAAAGAAUAUGGUAGGUUCAUUUAUUAUUGAGUUUUGGGACUGGUCUGAUUUCAGGGGAAAUAUCCCAUUUGUAUUUCGUAUCAUGCAUGAAAGAAAUUACACAACCCACGAACACACCUCACGAGUGUCAUUUUAUAACUCUGUUUACAGAAGAACAGGACAUUUCGAUUCCGCCUCUAAAAAUGUAGCUAAUGGUCUUUUUUUCUUUUAAGAUCAUGCAACGCCAAACGUAUGCUGUUGUAUGUCUUUUUUAUUUUUUAUUUAUUAUUAUUAUUAUUAAUGGGGUCUGAACUCUCCAAUAAUAUGAAUCUUCUUCUUUCAUCCGUGAUAGCCUACUUGUGUUUCUCAAAAUUCAGCUUUAAUGUUUUUUUUUGUUUUUCAUUUACAGUUUCUACAAGUGUCGCCACUAGAGGACGCACUCAAACACGAGAAAGUGAGAUCAGAGCCAGAUUGCAGAGUGCCUCACCCUCCACUAGAUGGACAGAGCUGGAUGAUGUGAAGAGAUUACUGAAGGGAGGUCGCUCCGGGAGCAUCAGUCCUCCGCGCUCUCCCACCAACACUCUACCUAUCCCCAAAAAAGCCAGUUUGGACGCCCGUCAUGAGAGCCAGUCAGGUUAUGACGGCACAGUCCUGGAUGCAGGAUUCAGUGGAUAUUACACCAACCCAAACAACCUCAGUUACCCCACACUGCAACACGCAUCAUCACCCACAGGUGGCAUGCAGAAUAAUCUGACCCUCAGCUCAUCUGCCCUCAGUAGUGCAGUAUAUGGGAUGCAUAAUAACCUGUCAACAUCUGGUGGUGCUCUCAUGGUAAAUGGAAUCAAUGCUGACCAAGUGUAUGGGGGACAGAGGAAUGUUGGCAGCGCUGGAUUGGCCACCACUGUUACUACUGUUCCCAGCAGCCCUAUCACCGCUGAUGAUGUGUUUGUGAAAGAUGGCAAGUUUAUCGCGAUUGGAAAAGAAAAUGUAGCAGCUAAGAAAGAGACUGAGCGACUGAUUAUGUCCAAAAACACUGGCAAACAGUUCAUCACUUCCACCACCAGUGCUGGAGCAGGUAGAGAGCAGAGACUAGAUAUUUUACGCCAUAUUUAUUUAUUUAUUUGAUUUUUAUUGUAGCUUAAUCUACAGUUGAAAUAGUAAUUUAAUUAGUUACAAAUCUAGUUGUGGUAAAAC
ensembl:lncRNA